CAGCUCACGAGGAACAGGGUUGGAGACGCCUUAAGACUUGAAUCAAUUCCUCUUCAGUAAAAGAAGCUCAUACUUGUCUACCCAGCAAAGCUUCAGCUGCAGGCUGUUGGAUUUUAUGACCUCUCCUCUCCCCUGUGAGGAGAUCACAGCUGUGAGAAACACCAGAUAUUGCCUGCAGUGCGCACUUCCAAGUUUGAGAUGCCAACCAACCUGGAGAGUAAUGAUCAGUGCUGGAAGGACGAGGAAAAAA